rnacentral:lncRNA from 1 species
GCAAAGUAAGAUCUACAAAUAGGUUAAUAUGACCAAAAUUGUCAAUUGACCCCUUAAGGGGGUAAAUGUCCUUUAAUGACAAUUUUUCACAAUUUGUUCAUCAUAUUUGCUAACUUUAAAAAAUCUUCUCCUCUGAAACUACUGAAUGGAUUUGGAUGAAACUUAGCAUGAUAGUUCCUUAGAUUAUCCUGCACAAAAUGUAUGCUUCGAUUUUUGAUCCGUCAAAAAACAUGGCCGCCCUUGUUUUAAAUAGAACAUAGGGGUCAAAUGCAGUUUUUGGCUUAUAUCUCAAAAACGAAAGCAUUUAGAGCAAAUCUGACAUGGGGUAAAAAUGUUCAUUAGGUCAAGAUCUAUCAGCCCUGAAAUUUUCAGACGAAUCAAACAAACCAUUGUUGGGUUGCUGCCACUUAAUUGGUAAUUUUAAGGAAAUUUUGCAGUUUUUGGUCAUUAUCUUGAAUAUCAUUAUAGAUAAAGAUAAACUGUAAACAGCAAAAAUGAUAAGCAAAGUAAGA